rnacentral:rRNA from 1 species
UGGGGAAUUUUGGACAAUGGGCGAAAGCCUGAUCCAGCAAUGCCGCGUGUGUGAAGAAGGCCUUCGGGUUGUAAAGCACUUUUGUCCGGAAAGAAAUCCUUGGCUCUAAUACAGUCGGGGGAUGACGGUACCGGAAGAAUAAGCACCGGCUAACUACGUGCCAGCAGCCGCGGUAAUACGUAGGGUGCAAGCGUUAAUCGGAAUUACUGGGCGUAAAGCGUGCGCAGGCGGUUUGCUAAGACCGAUGUGAAAUCCCCGGGCUCAACCUGGGAACUGCAUUGGUGACUGGCAGGCUAGAGUAUGGCAGAGGGGGGUAGAACUCCACGUGUAGCAGUGAAAUGCGUAGAGAUGUGGAGGAAUACCGAUGGCGAAGGCAGCCCCCUGGGCCAAUACUGACGCUCAUGCACGAAAGCGUGGGGAGCAAACAGGAUUAGAUACCCUGGUAGUCCACGCCCUAAACGAUGUCAACUAGUUGUUGGGGAUUCAUUUCCUUAGUAACGUAGCUAACGCGUGAAGUUGACCGCCUGGGGAGUACGGUCGCAAGAUUAAAACUUAAAGGAAUUGACGGGGUCAUAGCUGUUUCCU